UGAGAUUUGGCUGUGCCUACACGUGCCUCCGACAGAGCUGGAUCAUCUAGGGCAAUGAAAAUUGAGCUUCUAUGUGUGGCUGAGAAGGGAGGUGAAGAGGCUCAUAACAAUGUCUGAGUUAGGCAGCCAGCUGACUCCAGUGCUGGGGAGAGACCUAUGACCUUGAAGAAAAGCAAGAUGAGCAAAAAUUCCUUAAAUGUCAGAGUAUCAACUUAAUAUUAUGCACGGAACCCUGAAGACUUGCUGAGUCACUCAGAACCAGAACAGAGGGAGGGAAAGCCUUUCUAGCAGGAAUUGUAUUGCCUAAACACAGAGAGGAACAGAAACAAAGGCCAGGCCUCUGUAAGGACAAGCUGCCUACUGCCCCAAAGUGCCCGCUGCUCCUCCAACAACACACCAAACGUUGUCUUUCAGUUUUAUGAAGCUGCCUUUCCCUGGAUAACCAAGAGAUUCAACACAGACUGCUGUAUUAGUUAAUAGCCAAGGGCAGGUGUGCCCAGCUCUGAGCCUCCUACAGAUUAAGCCUUGGUAGUUUUUAAGCAGAAGAAAGCUGGGGGCAUGGUGGCAGUUAAUUGUCAUACGCAACUUUACCCACAUAGCCAAUGUAUUGACGAGAUCAAUCAUACAGCCUAUGAUUGAAGCCAAACAAGAAACAAUGUUUGUCUUACUCCUUAUUAUUUUUUUUUCUCAAAAACAAUCUUCUGCCUUGAGGAAGUCUUUAAUGUCCACUAACAUGAACC